GAACAUAAGAGUUUGAUCCUGGCUCAGAUUGAACGCUGGCGGCAUGCUUUACACAUGCAAGUCGGACGGCAGCACGGGGAAGCUUGCUUCUCGGGUGGCGAGUGGCGAACGGGUGAGUAACAUAUCGGAACGUACCGGGUAGCGGGGGAUAACUGAUCGAAAGAUCAGCUAAUACCGCAUACGUCUUGAGAGGGAAAGCAGGGGACCUUCGGGCCUUGCGCUAUCCGAGCGGCCGAUAUCUGAUUAGCUGGUUGGCGGGGUAAAGGCCCACCAAGGCGACGAUCAGUAGCGGGUCUGAGAGGAUGAUCCGCCACACUGGGACUGAGACACGGCCCAGACUCCUACGGGAGGCAGCAGUGGGGAAUUUUGGACAAUGGGCGCAAGCCUGAUCCAGCCAUGCCGCGUGUCUGAAGAAGGCCUUCGGGUUGUAAAGGACUUUUGUCAGGGAAGAAAAGGCCGUUGCCAAUAUCGGCGGCCGAUGACGGUACCUGAAGAAUAAGCACCGGCUAACUACGUGCCAGCAGCCGCGGUAAUACGUAGGGUGCGAGCGUUAAUCGGAAUUACUGGGCGUAAAGCGGGCGCAGACGGUUACUUAAGCAGGAUGUGAAAUCCCCGGGCUCAACCCGGGAACUGCGUUCUGAACUGGGUGACUCGAGUGUGUCAGAGGGAGGUGGAAUUCCACGUGUAGCAGUGAAAUGCGUAGAGAUGUGGAGGAAUACCGAUGGCGAAGGCAGCCUCCUGGGAUAACACUGACGUUCAUGUCCGAAAGCGUGGGUAGCAAACAGGAUUAGAUACCCUGGUAGUCCACGCCCUAAACGAUGUCAAUUAGCUGUUGGGCAACUUGAUUGCUUGGUAGCGUAGCUAACGCGUGAAAUUGACCGCCUGGGGAGUACGGUCGCAAGAUUAAAACUCAAAGGAAUUGACGGGGACCCGCACAAGCGGUGGAUGAUGUGGAUUAAUUCGAUGCAACGCGAAGAACCUUACCUGGUUUUGACAUGUGCGGAAUCCUCCGGAGACGGAGGAGUGCCUUCGGGAGCCGUAACACAGGUGCUGCAUGGCUGUCGUCAGCUCGUGUCGUGAGAUGUUGGGUUAAGUCCCGCAACGAGCGCAACCCUUGUCAUUAGUUGCCAUCAUUCGGUUGGGCACUCUAAUGAGACUGCCGGUGACAAGCCGGAGGAAGGUGGGGAUGACGUCAAGUCCUCAUGGCCCUUAUGACCAGGGCUUCACACGUCAUACAAUGGUCGGUACAGAGGGUAGCCAAGCCGCGAGGCGGAGCCAAUCUCACAAAACCGAUCGUAGUCCGGAUUGCACUCUGCAACUCGAGUGCAUGAAGUCGGAAUCGCUAGUAAUCGCAGGUCAGCAUACUGCGGUGAAUACGUUCCCGGGUCUUGUACACACCGCCCGUCACACCAUGGGAGUGGGGGAUACCAGAAGUAGGUAGGGUAACCGCAAGGAGUCCGCUUACCACGGUAUGCUUCAUGACUGGGGUGAAGUCGUAACAAGGUAGCCGUAGGGGAACCUGCGGCUGGAUCACCUCCUUU
rnacentral:rRNA from 1 species